rnacentral:rRNA from 1 species
UAUCUGAAUGGGGAAACCCAGCCCGAAAGGGUUAUCCGCACCUGAAUAUAUAGGGUGUGUGAAGCGAACCUGCUGAACUGAAACAUCUAAGUAGGCAGAGGAAAAGAAAUCAACCGAGAUUCCGAAAGUAGUGGCGAGCGAAAUCGGAAUAGCCUGCAACAUUUAGCCAUUGAUUUAGAGGAACGGAAUGGAAAGUCCGGCCAUAGAGGGUGAUAGCCCCUUACUCGAAAAACCAGCGGUAGAACUAAGGUUGCGACAAGUAGGGCGGGACACGUGAAAUCCUGUCUGAACAUGGGAGGACCAUCCUCCAAGGCUAAAUACUCGUAAUCGACCGAUAGUGAACCAGUACCGUGAGGGAAAGGCGAAAAGAACCCCGGAAGGGGAGUGAAAUAGAUCCUGAAACCGCAUGCAUACAAGCGGUCGGAGCUCCGUAAGGAGUGUCGGCAUACCUUUUGUAUAAUGGGUCAGCGACUUACAUUCAGUGGCGAGCUUAACCGUAUAGGGAAAGCGUAGCGAAAGCGAGUCUAAACAGGGCGUUCAGUCGCUGGGUGUAGACCCGAAACCAGAUGAUCUACCCAUGGCCAGGAUGAAGGUGCGGUAACACGCACUGGAGGUCCGAACCCACUACCGUUGAAAAGGUAGGGGAUGAGCUGUGGGUAGGGGUGAAAGGCUAAACAAAUCUGGAGAUAGCUGGUUCUCUCCGAAAGCUAUUUAUGUAGCGCCUCGUGGUACACCUUCGGGGUAGAGCACUGUUUAUGGCUAGGGGGCCGCUUAGGCCUACCAAACCAUUGCAACUCCGAAUACCGAAGAGUGAGUCCACGGGAGACAGACAUCGGGUGCUAACGUCCGGUGUCAAGAGGGAAACAACCCAGACCGCCAGCUAAGGUCCCAAAUUACAGUUAAGUGGCAAACGAAGUGAGAAGGCACAAACAGCCAGGAGGUUGGCUUAGAAGCAGCCACCCUUUAAAGAAAGCGUAAUAGCUCACUGGUCGAGUCGUCUCGCGCGGAAGAUGUAACGGGGCUCAAACUGUAAACCGAAGCUGCGGGUGCGUAGCAAUACGCGCGGCAGGAGAGCGUUCUGUAAGCCUGUGAAGGUGACUCGUAAGAGUUGCUGGAGGUAUCAGAAGUGCGAAUGCUGACAUGAGUAGCGAUAAACAGAGUGAAAAGCUCUGUCGCCGUAAGCCCAAGGUUCCCUGCGCAACGUUCAUCGGCGCAGGGUGAGUCGGCCCCUAAGGCGAGGCGGAAACGCGUAGUCGAUGGGAAACAGGUUAAAUAUUCCUGUACCUCUGCAUGAUGCGAUGGGGGGACGGAGAAGGUUAUGCAAGCCGGGUGUUGGAAGUCCCGGUUCAAGAGUGUAGGCGUGCUGUCUAGGCAAAUCCGGACGGCUUAGCUGAGACUUGAUAACGAGUGACCUCGUGUCACGAAGUUGCAGAUACCAUGCUUCCAAGAAAAGCCUCUAAGCUUCAGUCAUGUAGGGACCGUACCGUAAUCGGACACACGUGGGCGGGAUGAGUAUUCCAAGGCGCUUGAGAGAACUCAGGAGAAGGAACUCGGCAAAUUAGUACCGUAACUUCGGGAUAAGGUACGCCCCUAGUAGGUGAAAGUGUACAACUGGAGCCGAAUGGGGUCGCAGCGAAAAGGUGGCUGCGACUGUUUAACAAAAACACAGCACUCUGCAAACACGUCAAGUGGACGUAUAGGGUGUGACGCCUGCCCGGUGCCGGAAGGUUAAGUGAUGGGGUGCAAGCUCUUGAUCGAAGCCCCGGUAAACGGCGGCCGUAACUAUAACGGUCCUAAGGUAGCGAAAUUCCUUGUCGGGUAAGUUCCGACCUGCACGAAUGGCGUAACGAUGGCCACACUGUCUCCUCCUGAGACUCUGCGAAGUUGAAGUGUUUGUGAUGAUGCAAUCUCCCCGCUGCAAGACGGAAAGACCCCGUGCACCUUUACUGCAACUUUGCAUUGGACUUUGAUGAGAUUUGUGUAGGAUAGCUGGGAGGCUUUGAAGUGGGGGCGCUAGCCCUCAUGGAGCCGACGUUGAAAUACCAGCCUGAUGUCAUUGAGGUUCUAACCUGGAUCCGUAAUCCGGAUCGGGGACCGUGCAUGGUGGGCAGUUUGACUGAGGCGGUCUCCUCCCAAAGAGUAACGGAGGAGUGCGGCGGUACGCUUAGCGCGGUCGGCUAUCGCGCUGUAUGUGCAAUGGCAAAAGCGUGCUUAACUGCGAGACGGACAUGUCGAGCAGGUGCGAAAGCAGGUCAUAGUGAUCCGGUGGUUCUGUAUGGAAGGGCCAUCGCUCAACGGAUAAAAGGUACGCCGGGGAUAACAGGCUGAUUCCUCCCAAGAGUUCAUAUCGACGGGGGAGUUUGGCACCUCGAUGUCGGCUCAUCGCAUCCUGGGGCUGUAGCCGGUCCCAAGGGUAUGGCUGUUCGCCAUUUAAAGUGGUACGUGAGCUGGGUUCAAAACGUCGUGAGACAGUUUGGUCCCUAUCUGCAGUGGACGUUGGAAGUUUGAGGGGGGCUGCUCCUAGUACGAGAGGACCGGAGUGGACGCACCUCUGGUGUACCGGUUGUCACGCCAGUGGCAUCGCCGGGUAGCUAAGUGCGGAAAAGAUAACCGCUGAAAGCAUCUAAGCA